rnacentral:rRNA from 1 species
UACGUAGGGGGCAAGCGUUGUCCGGAUUUAUUGGGCGUAAAGAGCGUGUAGGCGGCCAGACAGGUCCGUUGUGAAAACUCGAGGCUCAACCUCGAGACGCCGAUGGAAACCGUCUGGCUAGAGUCCGGAAGAGGAGAGUGGAAUUCCUGGUGUAGCGGUGAAAUGCGCAGAUAUCAGGAGGAACACCAAUGGCGAAGGCAGAUCUCUGGGCCGUAACUGACGCUGAGGAGCGAAAGCAUGGGGAGCGAACAGG